rnacentral:rRNA from 1 species
UACGUAGGGUGCGAGCGUUAAUCGGAACUACUGGGCGUAAAGCGUGCGCAGGCGGUUCGUUGUGUCGGUGGUGAAAGCCCCGGGCUUAACCUGGGAAUGGCCAUGGAAACUGGCGAACUGGAGUGUGGCAGAGGGGGGUGGAAUUCCGCGUGUAGCAGUGAAAUGCGUAGAGAUGCGGAGGAACACCGAUGGCGAAGGCAGCCCCCUGGGCUAGCACUGACGCUCAGGCACGAAAGCGUGGGGAGCAAACAGG